rnacentral:rRNA from 1 species
ACGGGUGAGUAACGCGUGGGAACGUGCCCUUCGGUUCGGAAUAACUCAGGGAAACUUGAGCUAAUACCGGAUACGCCUUUAUGGGGAAAGGCUUGACUGCCGAAGGAUCGGCCCGCGUCUGAUUAGCUAGUUGGUGAGGUUAUGGCUCACCAAGGCGACGAUCAGUAGCUGGUCUGAGAGGAUGAUCAGCCACACUGGGACUGAGACACGGCCCAGACUCCUACGGGAGGCAGCAGUGGGGAAUAUUGGACAAUGGGGGCAACCCUGAUCCAGCCAUGCCGCGUGAGUGAUGACGGCCUUAGGGUUGUAAAGCUCUUUUCUCCGGGACGAUAAUGACGGUACCGGAGGAAUAAGCCCCGGCUAACUUCGUGCCAGCAGCCGCGGUAAUACGAAGGGGGCUAGCGUUGCUCGGAAUCACUGGGCGUAAAGGGCGCGUAGGCGGCUGAUUUAGUCGAGGGUGAAAGCCCGUGGCUCAACCACGGAAUGGCCUUCGAUACUGAUUGGCUUGAGACCGGAAGAGGACAGCGGAACUGCGAGU